rnacentral:ncRNA from 1 species
AACUCUGAAGAGCCGCCCGUUACGUCGUCGGGCGCACCGAAGGAGCAAGCGGCAGCGCAGCGCGCAACCGUGAAACUCUCAGGUCCAGAACAGAGGGG